GACGAACGCUGGCGGCGUGCUUAACACAUGCAAGUCGAACGGAAAGGCCCUGCUUUUGUGGGGUUCUCGAGUGGCGAACGGGUGAGUAACACGUGAGUAACCUGCCCUUGACUUUGGGAUAACUUCAGGAAACUGGGGCUAAUACCGUAUAGGAUCUCCUGCUGCAUGGUGGGGGUUGGAUCGUUUCGGCGGUAGGGGAUGGACUCGCGGCUUAUCAGCUUGUUGGUGGGGUAGUGGCUUACCAAGGCUUUGACGGGUAGCCGGCCUGAGAGGGUGACCGGCGACAUGGGGACUGAGAGACGGCCCAGACUCCUACGGGAGGCAGCAGUGGGGAAUAUUGCACAAUGGGCGGAAGCCUGAGGCAGAAACGCCGCGGGCGGGAUGACGGCCUUCGGGGUGUAAACCGCUUUAGCCUGUGACGAAGCGUGAGUGACGGUAAUGGGUAAAGAAGCACCGGCUAACUACGUG
rnacentral:rRNA from 1 species